rnacentral:ncRNA from 2 species
AGCUUGCCGCACGGUUAUGGUUCUCCCGCCUCCGGGCGGGAGCUAAGAGGGAAUUCGGUCAAAGCCGAAGCUGCCCCGCAACUGUGAGCGGUCGGGACAUGUUUUUCGGAAAGCGGUGUCCGCUUUCGGGAAAGUUUAUGCCCCAAUGGUGAAUAGCCACAUUGCCCACCACGUCACUGGCAUGGAUGCCGGGAAGACGGGCGAUGAAGCAACGACCCGCGAGCCAGGAGACCUGCCUGACCAUGUGAGGUUCC